rnacentral:rRNA from 1 species
GGAGUUAGCCGGUGCUUCUUCUGCGAGUAACGUCACAGAUGUAAGGUAUUAACUUACACCCUUUCCUCCUCGCUGAAAGUGCUUUACAACCCGAAGGCCUUCUUCACACACGCGGCAUGGCUGCAUCAGGGUUUCCCCCAUUGUGCAAUAUUCCCCACUGCUGCCUCCCGUAGGAGUCUGGGCCGUGUCUCAGUCCCAGUGUGGCUGAUCAUCCUCUCAGACCAGCUAGGGAUCGUCGCCUAGGUGAGCCUUUACCUCACCUACUAGCUAAUCCCACCUGGGCUUAUCCAUCAGCGCAAGGCCCGAAGGUCCCCUGCUUUCCCCCGGUAGGGCGUAUGCGGUAUUAGCAGUCGUUUCCAACUGUUAUCCCCCACAAAUGGGCAAAUUCCCAGGCAUUACUCACCCGUCCGCCGCUCGUCAUCUUCAAAAGCAAGCUUUUGAAAUGUUACCGCUCGACUUGCAUGUGUUAGGCCUGCCGCCAGCGUUCAAUCUGAGCCAGGAUCAAACUCUGA